GAAUUUUGGGGGAUCCAGAAAAUCCGUCGUUUGCAUACAAAUGGCCUUGCGGUGAGGGUCAGUUAAUAACGGUUUUACAACGUUUUCAUCGCAAAACGUCCAGCCGUGCAGCAUUUGGUAGAAAAAGAUACCUCAUAUUAUCACGGUUUGCGCUAGCGGAUGAAAGUGUCUUUCCCAGUGAAUAAAUAAAGUGUAAAUUUUGUGAAUAAACUCAGUGAUUCAAGUAGCAGAACAGGUUACUUCCAAUGAAGAAACUUUUGGUCUUUGCUUUGCUGGUUCUUCCGGCGGUUCUCCUUACGGCGGACAACGGUUUUUCUAGGCUCCCGGUUCAUGGCCAAUGCUACCGAGGAAUUGGAUGUUGAAGUUGAAUCCGAUGAGGCAUCGGUAACCAAAAACGAGAAACCGGGAAACAGAUGAAGAGCCAGAAACGACGAAAUCGCCAGAUGCAGAUACGUUCCUUCUAUUUACAAGGCCUCUCUAAAUUCUGUCAAAUUCCUCGUUGGCUUCGCCAAUAAGAGAAGUGACGAUUUUAUAGUAGAAAUUUCAAUUACUUCAUUCAAAACUUUUCGGCUAUUUCCUACAACUGAGACAUUAAACCGUCUCUUACUCGUUUCCUCCAUCUGAAUCGUUUGCCGGUCGGCCAUUCGGAUUGAACAUUGCGCUCAACUACCGUUACGCCUGCGGAAAUCAGUUAUCAGGGUUUGGGUGGGGAAACGUUCUUCCUGUACGUGUUCCUGGCGGCUGUUGUAGUUUUGUUGCUGGUGCUCGGCCAACAAUUCCUGGCAUCGUGUGGCAAGCGUGAACGCUCCCCAGCUGCCCGUAAAACUGUGGAAACCGAAACCACCAGUACCAAGGAUGUGGACUAUGAAUGGAUUCCACAAGAAACACUCAAGAUGAUUCAAAAUUCUCCCAAGGGCGGCAAAGUGUCCCCAAAGCAAAGCCCACGGCAAAGCGAUCUGUCUGUGCCGAUGAUUAGAUCAAUGGCUUGAAGAACUCAUUGCUUUGAGAAGGGUAGCUAUCGUUAACAAAGCAUAAAAACAGAGACACGAAUAUGUAGAAUGCCCAUCACCAUCAUCAGCACAAAAAGCUCAAUCAGCGUGGAACAAUAAUUCUGACAUUAUCUUCCGGAAAGUCGUUUGACAGAAUAGUUAGUUGGCAAACAAAUUUUAAUGAAAAAAAUUGUAUUUUGCGAAAGGUCUCAUUAUGCUAGAUAACCGUUAUGUCAAAUAACCCUCAAGUCAAAACGGGACGAGCCAGAUUAUUUGACCUUCGCCGGCAGCUGCGUAAGGCCGUCGUUGAUCAUGUUUCGGACUCAUUCCUCCCCGCAUACCAAAAAACUAUAUCUUAAAUAAUCAAUACGAUACAUCUACGGCUCUAGAAAUAGUGACUGUUUCGGUGAACGUAGCUAUUAUUUUAAACUUUACUUCGACAACGAUAAAAACGAUAUAUGAACGUUCAUGUGAAUAAGUGAUGGUAUCUGAUAAGGUGAAUGAAGGUUUAGACGAUUUACUUAAAUUUUAUAAAUAAUCGUAAAACUGUUCUCGAACCUUAACGCAUAGCGUUCAUAUCACAUGUCAAACUCACAUAAAAAAUGACCGAAACGCGAGUCAGAGAUGCCAGGUGGUUUUUAAAAAAAACUUAGUACUGAUUUGUAAAAAUAUACAUGUUUUUUCAAUAUAUUCAUUGUUUUAUUUAUUUAUUUAUUUCAAACAGAUACAUAAAAUAAAAAUUUUUUGUCCUUAUUACAAUGGCUCCGCCGUUCAAGGAGU